rnacentral:rRNA from 1 species
UACGUAGGCAGCGAGCGUUGUUCGGAGUUACUGGGCGUAAAGGGUGUGUAGGCGGUUGUUUAAGUUUGGUGUGAAAUCUCCCGGCUCAACUGGGAGGGUGCGCCGAAUACUGAAUGACUUCGAGUGCGGGAGAGGAGAGUGGAAUUCCUGGUGUAGCGGUGAAAUGCGCAGAUAUCAGGAGGAACACCCGUGGCGAAAGCGGCUCUCUGGGACGGUACUGACGCUGAGACGCGAAAGCGUGGGGAGCAAACAGG